CGGAGAUGCCAUUUGUGGCAACCCAACAGAAGUUUGGGAUUAAAGGAUUGCUUCAAAAGUGGUAACAAGUUGCCAUUGAAUCUAUAACAGUUUACAUAAGACAAGCUGAUUUGUGAGUGUGACUCUAAAACUGAAAGCAAGGAAGAAAUAGUUUUAUACAAGCAGAGCCCCUGGAAGACAAGCGUAUGCAAUAUUCAUAAACGGGAACUUGGUUGAACUGAGCAAAUGGCAUAAGUGUUGGCAGCUGCAAGAUCAAGUAUAGGAAAGCUCACCUAAGAAUGCGGCUAAUGAAGACAAGCACAUAACAUCAGUAUUUGUCUCAAGUAAUCUAUUCAAUAUUCCAAAACAGGAAUGAGAUUACGUUGAUCAAAUGGCUCUACUUGGUGCAGCUGCAAACUAAAAUGGAUAUUGCUAAGUUCGUCCCCUAAAAAGACAAGCGAAUAAGAAUGAUGUUACCAUGAUCGAAUGGCUGAAUGAAGUGGGGACAGCAAGCUCAACUGGGAAUUUGCAAUUGGUAAGCAAAAGGGGGUUAUCCUUCUAAAAAUAUUUAUGUAAUUGUAUAACAGUUCCUUGCAUGUAAAUAUUUCUAGGCGCGGACAUGUUAUUAUAAGGUAAAAAAAUAUUGGCCUCCAACAUCUAAACUUUUCUUUGUUUGAAUUCUAUGUUGCCGUUGUGGUUAACAUGGUGAAAGUAGUGCCAUUUCCAGUCUUCGUUAAA